rnacentral:rRNA from 1 species
GACGGAGGAUGCAAGUGUUAUCCGGAAUCACUGGGCGUAAAGAGCGUGUAGGCGGCCCGAUAAGUCCGCCGUGAAAGUCCAGGGCUCAACCCUGGAAUGCCGGUGGAAACUGUCGGGCUGGAGUCCGGAAGAGGCGAGUGGAAUUCCUGGUGUAGCGGUGAAAUGCGCAGAUAUCAGGAGGAACACCAAUGGCGAAGACAGCUCGCUGGGACGUGACUGACGCUGAGACGCGAAAGCGUGGGGAGCAAACAGG